AGAAACUAACAAGGAUUCCCCUAGUAACGGCGAGUGAAGAGGGAAAAGCUCAAAUUUGAAAUCUGGCAGUCUAAGGCUGUCCGAGUUGUAAUCUAGAGAAGUGUUUUCCGUGCUGGACCGUGUACAAGUCCUUUGGAACAAGGCGUCAUAGAGGGUGAGAAUCCCGUCUACGACACGGACUACCAGUGCUCUGUGAUACACUCUCAACGAGUCGAGUUGUUUGGGAAUGCAGCUCAAAAUGGGUGGUAAAUUCCAUCUAAAGCUAAAUACAGGCGAAAGACCGAUAGCGAACAAGUACCGUGAGGGAAAGAUGAAAAGCACUUUGGAAAGAGAGUUAAACAGUACGUGAAAUUGUUGAAAGGGAAACGCUUGAAGUCAGUCGCGUCUUCAGAAAUUCAGCCUGGCUUCUGCCUGGUGUACUUUUCUGUUGGACGGGCCAGCAUCAGUUUUGGCCGCCAGAAAAAGGUGGGAGGAACGUGGCACCUCCGGGUGUGUUAUAGCCUCUCAUCGUAUGUGGCGGCUGGGACUGAGGACCGCAGCACGCCUUUAAUGGCCGGGGUUCGCCCACGUAACGUGCUUAGGAUGCUGGCGUAAUGGCUUUAAACGACCCGUCUUGAAACACGGACCAAGGAGUCUAACAUGCCUGCGAGUAUUUGGGUGGUAAACCCAUAUGCGGAAUGAAAGUGAACAGUUGGGACUUCUGUCAUGGAAGGCACCGACGCCCGGACCAGACCUAUUGUGACGGAUCCGAGGUAGAGCAUGUAUGUUGGGACCCGAAAGAUGGUGAACUAUGCCUGAGUAGGGUGAAGCCAGAGGAAACUCUGGUGGAGGCUCGUAGCGAUUCUGACGUGCAAAUCGAUCGUCGAACUUGGGUAUAGGGGCGAAAGACUAAUCGAAC
rnacentral:rRNA from 1 species